CAUUGACACAUCAACUAUACAAGGCUUUUAUCUCCUUUAUUUUCAUUCCUCUUAUCAGAUUUUUCUUCAUAUUUUUCAUUCAAAACUGUUGGUCUUCGUUGUUGCUGCUCUAAUCGCAAGGGGGAGCUGAACCCAUACGGCUCAUGGGUGUGGUUAAAUGGCAAGGUUACAUAACCCAGG